rnacentral:rRNA from 1 species
CGGAAACGGACGCUAAUACCGCAUACGUCCUACGGGAGAAAGCGGGGGGAGUCUUCGGACCUCGCGCCAUUAGAUGAGCCUAGGUCGGAUUAGCUAGUUGGUGAGGUAAUGGCUCACCAAGGCGACGAUCCGUAACUGGUCUGAGAGGAUGAUCAGUCACACUGGAACUGAGACACGGUCCAGACUCCUACGGGAGGCAGCAGUGGGGAAUAUUGGACAAUGGGCGAAAGCCUGAUCCAGCCAUGCCGCGUGUGUGAAGAAGGUCUUCGGAUUGUAAAGCACUUUAAGUUGGGAGGAAGGGUAGUAACCUAAUACGUUGCUACUUUGACGUUACCGACAGAAUAAGCACCGGCUAACUUCGUG